ACUGUGAAUGUGAAGAAAACUAUAUUAUGGUAGAAUUAUAAAUGCAGAGAUUUUUUAAAAUGUGAAUAGCAAAACAACCACCUGUUAAAUCAUAUUGAUUUAAAUCACAAAAGCUAUUGAAUUUUCCAUAAGCAGCUGGAUGUCUUGCUGUCAUGUGUUUUCUAAAGGAGAAAGUAAAAUGAAACUGUAAGAGACAGAAACUAUGAGAGAAACAGUGGGGAAAGAAAGAUACGGCGCUCCGAUUAUCUCUUCAGUAGAUAUGUCUUUGCAGGAUAAUUGCUCUUUGGAUCAGCUUACUGCCUCUGGAACUUUGGAAGAUUUUCUUUGUUCCUUCUCCUCAAACUUUUCUACCUUAUUACUUAAAACCUAAUUAUCUUGUGAAACACUAAUUGCCAAGAUGGGUAACUUAAUUUUCCAAUCUGCAAUCUUCAUUACACUCUCUUGCCACUUUUGAUUCAGGAAGAUUCUUAGGGAACAAUUUUGCUUUUAUGAGUAGUCCUCCAGCCCACCAAAGUCUGGAGCUAAGAUACAUCAUGAGAUCCCAUGUUUUUGCCUGAAGUGUAUUUUGCAUCCCUUUUUUAUCUUCGUGCAGGCUUUGACAGAACAAGGAACCUGAUGGUGGUGAAACAGAGAAAAUGAAGCAGAUCUAAAAUAAUGUGUGAAGACCUUGCUUGGAUACAGCAGAUGCCUGCCCUGAUGGUAAAUAGCAACUGCCUUGAACCAAGCAAGUAUAACAGAUCCUGCAUAUCUCUGAUUUCCAAGUGGAGCAAACCUCAACCUUAUGAAGGAGGGUCACCCCUGCAUCCAUCCUUUUUGUCUUUUAAAUAGAAACAACAUAGCCCACAUCCUGCACACUUCCAAGAUAAGAGAAAAUAACUGAGAACCAAGAAAAAAUGGAGCCAGCUUACCUGGGAUUACUGGAAGUCUAACAAUGAGAAGCAAGAGACAACAACUUGAGUGUAUUCAUAAACAGAGAAUAUAAGGACUGAAAGGCAGCAUGAAAGAUGAAUAAUUCAAAGAGGAGACCAUGCCCUCACUGAGGUAAACUAAUUUUAUGAGAGUUCUACCAGAUGACAUAUGCUUAAGUUUUCAUUUGGAAUAUUAUAUUACAUUUUGUUAUAUAACAUUGUAUUAUCUUGGACAGAUUAUUUGCAUUUUGUGGAGUUCUUCUUAUUUACCUUUGGUUUAAACCCAUGUAGCUCUGUAGAUUUCAUUGGCAAAAUUUUACAGUAUGUAAAUGAAGUUAGCAUCCAGUGUUUGCCUUCUCUGACCUGCUAAGUUAUCACAUUUCUUCCUUUAUGAA